rnacentral:tRNA from 1 species
GGUUGUGGCUCAGUGGUAGAGCGCUCGCCUCGAAUAUGUGAGGCCUUGGGUUCAAUCUUCAGCAUCA